GUUAGCGACCAUACCACGUAGAAAGCACCGGUUCUCGUCCGAUCACCGAAGUUAAGCUACGUCGGGCCGGGUUAGUACUUGCAUGGGUGACCGGCUGGGAAUACUCGGUGUUGCUGGCCCCU
rnacentral:rRNA from 1 species